CUACACUGAUAGAUUCGCUGCCUUCAGGGCUUCCUCUUCUAAAGCUAAAUUUCUCGAAGAUGUUGGGUCUUUUACUCAAACUCUUCCUGGUGAUACCAGGCAUCAUCUCCAUGUCUUACCCCAUGAAUCGUCUGCCGUGCUUAAAGAACCCAUUGGAAUUGUUUUUACGGAUAACUCUACCAAUUCACCUGCAGAAACCUUCUCCAGCGCUACAAUUCCAGAUUCAUCAGCUCAAGAUACAAGAGAGCAUAAAUCUGCUAGAGUAUUA
rnacentral:misc_RNA from 1 species